CGUUGUCGACCUCUCUCCGUUUCCUUCAUCUCAAAUCUAUAAACUGGGAGAGGGCUGGGAGUUGAAUGAACCUUUGAAAACACUCUCAGUUAAUCUCCUUCAUCAAAUGUAGAAAGAAUCUUCGAAAAUGUCUUCUUUAGAUGCUGUUGUUGGGCAAUCGGUCGAUCGUAGCAGUUCAUUGUUGCUCGGCAUCUCCAUUUUCUGGGCUAAAAAAACAUCAAGAAGCAUGGCGAAUUCAUGGGAAUCAUUCUACUUCUCCUUGAUGAAAAGCUUAGGAUGUUCACUAACGAGGAGAAGCUUUCCCAUGUACCCAUACCAAGAAGGGAUAAAAAAAAGAAGGAACUUGUCUCAAAAGGAAAUCUAAUCAAAUUCAUCUCCAACUCUAAUGAGCAGG